UUUUGCAGGUUGUUGCAACCAAUUUUUCUCACCUUCAUUUGCAUCAGCAUUCUAAAAACGCUAUUCAUAAUCCUUAUGCUCAAAAUGCACAACAGUAGAGUCAUGAGUAACCGGUUCUUCUUCUUCAUCUUCUCUCUAGCUCAACAUUUUGCUAGACAAGGAACCUCUAUCACUUGAUGUUUAUGCAAUUGCCACAAAACAUUAAAUCUAUUUUUGCAUUAUGACAUAAAACAUGCCAUGCAACUGUUUCUUAAAACUGAAAUAUUUUGUUUUCCCUUCUUUUUAUUGCAGGAAUAUUCCUACACAAGAACCUGUUGCUUCAGUUGGAGGAAAUCCUUUCGCAUAAUAUUUUCCUGGCAGGAAUGCUGUUUUCGUACUUCUCUGUCAGGUAGUUGGAGUUUCCUAGUGACUAAUUGUAGUGUCUUUCUGUAUCCCAGAAUGAAAAAAGUUAUUUAUAUUAUUAUUUUUGUAUUCUUUGCCAAAAUAAAAUCUUGAUGUGAAUAACUUCCCACUAAAUUUUCAAGUACAUCAUAUAUGUAUGUAUUUGUUUUAUGUCAUUUGAACUGGUGGUAUGCUAGCUAAUGUAGCUACAGGGGUUGAAUUCGUAAGGUCCUUUCGAUUGGACCCACGAUGUGAAUACAUUUCUGGUCAUUAUUGUCAUUAUUAUUAUUACAUUUCAACCAGUCCACUAGGUUUUUGGAAGAAUCAAAUGGAUAAUGCUUAAUGGACUGCGAGUUUCAGUUCUGCUACUAGGCUGGUUUUGAUAUUCUUUAGAAAUAUGUGGGAUGAUAAGCCUGAAUUGGUUGUAAUAAAGUUUAUCCAUUGCUUUUGAACAGUCAUGGAAUGCUUUUGAUGAUUUCACCAGCCAUCUUCCCUCGGAGGGUUUUAAGCCAAAUAGUGAACCCCAUGUAGAUGCGUACAUGCCUUCACCAACUCCAGAUCAGUAUUUGGCAAUAGUUUCCCAGGUUGCUGCAUCAACAACAUGAUUUUUUUGAAGGCCUCUGUUGUCUCUGAGUUUUCUGCCCCCCACUUUUUUUUUUGUAAUUGGUUUUCCAUCAAUUACUUUUCCUCAAUUUAUUCUUGCUUUGUUGUUAGCAUGAGACUAAUGAUGAUGGAAAUCCGAGAGUUGCCUCCCAUGAUGGACCCCCCAACAUGACGGUACCAUCUCAGGCUGACAUGGGCCCAUCUUAUAACCCAUCAAUGUUUCCUCUAAUGGUUUGUGUUAAAUUUUUCUGUAUGUUUUAGCUUCUUUAUUCUUGCUGAAUUAUCGUGCAUGUGUCUAAUCUUGCAUUUUUAUUUUGGGUCUAGGGACAGAUGCGGACACAUGCAACUGAACAUAAGUCAACAAAUCCAUUUGAUUUUCCUUGUGAUUCUGAUUUGGAGCAGAAUAAUAUGGUAUGGCCUAGAUUUUUAAUUUGUUAACAAAAUAUUGACACUGCGGUAGUAGCACUCCCCAAUAAUUUAACGUAAUUUGUUCUGGAAGUGAUCUUUCUUCUUUAGUUCUUAGUCAUGUUGCCAUCUCUCUGUAAGUAUUGCUUCUUAUACUUGUAUAAUAAAAAAUUGAUGAUUAUAUAUCUACUUAAAGCAAUGGCAUCAUUAAUUUACAUGACUUGCUUGUUUGUUUAUUGGGCAGGUUGGUGUAAUAUUUCCUCAUUUUUUUUUUAAUGGAGCUAUAACAUAUAUGGUCUUUACCUAACUUUGCUCAAGCAUUCAUGUUUGAAAAGGCAAUGCAUUUUUUCAUUUACAUUAGGUUUUUCUAUGCUAUGAAUAUUGUUUCUACUUAGUUGAAAAAAAAAAAAUUGGAAUAUUGCUUCUACUCUUUUCUUUUUUCCCUUUUCUUGGUGGAUAAGAUGUUUACAUAUUUAAGAAUUGAGUUGAUUCUGGAUGAUAUGGAUUCUGUAUGUCUUGCUGUAAAAAUAACAAAUCAGUCGCUUGCUGAGGAGAAGCAAGCUGGUCACAAUAUCCAUUUGCAGUUUGUCUAAUUGCUUGCAGGGGAAGGGACUAUUAAAUUUUGGAUUUGUUGUUCCUGAUUUCAUUUGGUUGAACAUCAUAAUAUGCAGUUCUUGGACAUGAGCUCUCUGCAAGCUGCACUUCCAAAUUCAGAGUUGCCAUCCCCCUUCCUUGGUGGUGCAACUCAAUCAUGGUUUCCUCAAAAUCCAGUGAGUCCUUUUGUCCAGGCAGCAGCCCAAGGUAAAUGUUCUGCGACUGUUGCGAUGGAAAUUUGACAGUAACAUUUAGAACUGUUGUUAUUAGAACUGUGUUUGCUAAUGGUAGUUUACACAGCAUAUUAUUGGAUAAUGUGAGACUGUGUAGACAUCUUAAUAUCUUCAACAAGUCUUUUUGCAUUUGUCUUCCCAAUGAUUUUUUUUUAUGGUUUUUUUUCUGUAGGUGGCUUAGCGUACAUGUCAGGACAAUCACCAUCAGCACAAUUAGCGUAAGUCACUUUGCUGCUCUUGUUAUGCUUUUGCAGGUUGUUGCAACCAAUUUUUCUCACCUUCAUUUGCAUCAGCAUUCUAAAAACGCUAUUCAUAAUCCUUAUGCUCAAAAUGCACAACAGUAGAGUCAUGAGUAACCGGUUCUUCUUCUUCAUCUUCUCUCUAGCUCAACAUUUUGCUAGACAAGGAACCUCUAUCACUUGAUGUUUAUGCAAUUGCCACAAAACAUUAAAUCUAUUUUUGCAUUAUGACAUAAAACAUGCCAUGCAACUGUUUCUUAAAACUGAAAUAUUUUGUUUUCCCUUCUUUUUAUUGCAGGAAUAUUCCUACACAAGAACCUGUUGCUUCAGUUGGAGGAAAUCCUUUCGCAUAAUAUUUUCCUGGCAGGAAUGCUGUUUUCGUACUUCUCUGUCAGGUAGUUGGAGUUUCCUAGUGACUAAUUGUAGUGUCUUUCUGUAUCCCAGAAUGAAAAAAGUUAUUUAUAUU
rnacentral:lncRNA from 1 species